rnacentral:rRNA from 1 species
CACGAAGGGGGCUAGCGUUGUUCGGAAUCACUGGGCGUAAAGCGCACGCAGGCGGAUCGUUAAGUCAGGGGUGAAAUCCCGAGGCUCAACCUCGGAACUGCCUUUGAUACUGGCGAUCUUUGAGUCCGGGAGAGGUGAGUGGAACUCCGAGUGUAGAGGUGAAAUUCGUAGAUAUUCGGAAGAACACCAGUGGCGAAGGCGGCUCACUGGCCCGGUACUGACGCUCAGGUGCGAAAGCGUGGGGAUCAAACAGG